CCUACGGGGGGCAGCAGUGAGGAAUAUUGGUCAAUGGCCGAGAGUCUGAACCAGCCAAGUAGCGUGAAGGAUGACUGCCCUAUGGGUUGUAAACUUCUUUUAUCAAGGAAUAAAACGAUGCACUUUUGCCUUUUUGCAUGUACUUUAUGAAUAAGGUUCGGUUACCUCCGUGCCAGCAGCCGCGGAAAUACGGAGGAUCCGAGCGUUAUCCGGAUUUUUUGGGUUUAAAGGGAGCGUAGAUGGGUUGUUAAGUAAGUUGUGAAAGUUUGCGGCUCAAGCGUAAAAUUGCAAUUGAUACUGGCAGUCUUGAGUACAGUUGAGGUGAGCGGAAUUCGUGGUGUAGCGGUGAAAUGCUUAGAUAUCACGAAGAACCCCGAUUGCGAAGGCAGCUUACGAAACUGUGACUGACAUUGAUGCUCGAAAGUGUGGGUAUCAAACAGGAUUAGAUACCCCGGUAGUC
rnacentral:rRNA from 1 species